rnacentral:lncRNA from 1 species
ACGAUAAAUCCAUUUCCAUUUAAUUACUUUUAUUAUCUCUUAUUAAUUCCAAAAUCCUUACUCGUUUAAUCAAUUGUUUUAAACGUAAUUCGUUACGGAAGCUUUUAAAACUGUUUUGAGGAAAUCAUGUGUUUAGAGAAAACUUUGCCUUUUCGAAAACUGAGUUUUCCUACGUCUAGCAGUUAUAAAUCCAUAAAAAUAAAUAAAAACCAAAUUUAAGCAAAAGUCCCCAAAAGUCCCCAAAUUACAUCCAAAUAAACCACGGUAAAUAAAACAUAAAUCAUAAAUUAUAAAUCAUAAAAGUCCAAAAACUGUGGUCACCAUCGAGUCCUCCACUGCCCGAUCUGUCUAGGUCUGGUGAUUACCUGUGCACAUUAAACCUAGAGGGGUGAGUUUAUGUAAACUCAGUGUGUAAUCCCAUAGAAAACAAACAACAGUAAACACAGUGCAUCAUCAAAAAAGUCUUGGGCAUAAGCACCUUUCAGUAUCAGUAUCAGUAUCAGUAUGCACAAGGGCCUUAGCCCAUCACAGUGUUAAUAACAGAUAUACAAUAUUCAGUAACAAAGUCCUACCCAACCAGCCUCUACACACCAUCUCUGUCCAACCCUACACUCCAUGUGGGGAUUAAAUCAACCCACCCAUCCCUACUGAUGCGAACGUAACCGCGUCAUGUUACAAAUUAACUCGACAACAUCGAGCAUGGCCUAAGCUCGAGGGGCCUAAGUGCAAAAUGAGGCCCAAUCUUAGCUCGUUGAGCUCAAUUUUGCUCAUUUUUAGCUCAAUGAGUUUGUGUGCUCAUUCAAUGAGCCUGAUUCAACUCAAAUACGCUUGUUUGAGCUUAUUUCCAUAUUUUUAUUUUUGAAUAAAGAUGAUUUCAGUGGUAAUAGUUGCCCGAUCGAUAAACUGGGUAAGUUUGAACGGUUUGCAAAAUUGGGGAUGAAAACAAGGAAGAUAGGUUUGAAUGGCUAGUUUUGUAAUGGAUAUGGAAGCAAGUUGAUGGUUUGAUUCAAAAAUGCUGAAAGAGGGAUGGAUAAAUGACUAUCAACGGGAUCAAACAAAGGUUAAAGGAAAACUUGGUGAUAGGUGGAUGAAAAUCGGCUAAGGCCAAGAUUGAACCAACGUUAUAGGAAAAGUUAGCCCGGAUCUUAGAUGACACUUAGGUUGAGAAGUUAAUGGAAAUAUAGAUGGAGAAAUUGAUAGAAAACCUUGACCUGCUAUCAAGGAUGAUAGGAACCUCGGUAUAGUUUUGAACGUUACACCAACAAAGGUGAAGAGUUCGGGCUAACAAGGAAAGAUUGACGCCACAAGACGAAAUCUCGAUAAGUCAGAUCAGUCCUAAAGUGAAUAAAGAGAAUUGAAUUCUCACUAGAACAAUAGAGUUC